rnacentral:ncRNA from 1 species
AAAACGGCUCUUUUAAGAGGCACCAAAUAUACUAUAAGAAUUAAACG